rnacentral:rRNA from 1 species
UACGUAGGUGGCAAGCGUUGUCCGGAUUUACUGGGCGUAAAGAGCGCGCAGGCGGUCUUGUAAGUCGCGUGUGAAAGCCCCCGGCUCAACUGGGGAGGGUCACGCGAUACUGCUCGACUCGAAGGCAGGAGAGGGUAGUGGAAUUCCCGGUGUAGUGGUGAAAUGCGUAGAUAUCGGGAGGAACACCAGUGGCGAAGGCGACUACCUGGCCUGUUCUUGACGCUGAGGCGCGAAAGCUAGGGGAGCAAACGGG